rnacentral:rRNA from 1 species
GAUGAACGCUGGCGGCGUGCUUAACACAUGCAAGUCGAACGGGAAACCUUUUAUUGAAGCUUCGGCCGAUUUAGCUGGUUUCUAUUGGCGGUCGGGUGCUUAACGCGUGGGUAACCUGCCUUAUACAGGGGGAUAACAACCCGACAUGGUUGCUAAUACCGCAUAAGCGCACAGGACCGCCUGGUCCGUUGUGAAUAACUCCGGUGGUAUAAGAUGGACCCGCGUUGGAUUAGCUAGUUGGCAGGGUAACGGCCUACCAAGGCGACGAUCCAUAGCCGGCAUGAGAGGGAGAACGGAGACAGCGAGACUGAGACACGGCGCAGAAUACUACGGGAGGGAGCAGUGGGGAAUAUUGCAAAAUGGGGGAAACGCUGAAGCAGCGACGACGCGUGAAGGAAGAAGUAUGGCGGUAAGUAAACUUCGAUCAGAAGGGAAGAUAGUGACGGUACCUGAAUAAGAAGCCCCGGCUAACUACGUG